UACAGAGGGUGCGAGCGUUGUUCGGAAUUAUUGGGCGUAAAGGGCGCGUAGGCGGUGCGGUAAGUCACCUGUGAAAUCUCCUGGCUCAACUGGGAGCUUGCAGGCGAAACUGCCGUGCUGGAGUGUGGGAGAGGUGCGUGGAAUUCCUGGUGUAGCGGUGAAAUGCGUAGAUAUUCGGAAGAACACCAGUGGCGAAGGCGGCUCACUGGACCGGUAUGACGCUGAGGUGCGAAAGCGAUGGGGAGCAAACAGGGG
rnacentral:rRNA from 1 species